UACGUAGGGGGCAAGCGUUGUCCGGAUUUAUUGGGCGUAAAGAGCGCGCAGGCGGCUGGUCAAGUCCGAUGUGAAAUCUCCCGGCUCAACUGGGAAACUGCAUCGGAAACUGAUCGGCUUGAAGAUGGGAGAGGGUAGUGGAAUUCCCGGUGUAGUGGUGAAAUGCGUAGAUAUCGGGAGGAACACCAGUGGCGAAGGCGACUACCUGGCCCAUUCUUGACGCUGAGGCGCGAAAGCUAGGGGAGCGAACGGG
rnacentral:rRNA from 1 species